CAGUAGCCGCGGUAAUACAGAGGGUGCGAGCGUUAAUCGGAUUUACUGGGCGUAAAGCGUGCGUAGGCGGCUUCUUAAGUCGGAUGUGAAAUCCCUGAGCUUAACUUAGGAAUUGCAUUCGAUACUGGGAAGCUAGAGUAUGGGAGAGGAUGGUAGAAUUCCGGGUGUAGCGGUGAAAUGCGUAGAGAUCUGGAGGAAUACCGAUGGCGAAGGCAGCCAUCUGGCCUAAUACUGACGCUGAGGUACGAAAGCAUGGGGAGCAAACAGGAUUAGAUACCCGGGUAGUCCCUGUCUCUUAUAC
rnacentral:rRNA from 1 species